UACAGAGGUCUCAAGCGUUGUUCGGAUUCAUUGGGCGUAAAGGGUGCGUAGGCGGUCUGCUAAGUUUGAUGUGAAAUCCCGGGGCUCAACCCUGGAAUUGCAUUGAAUACUGGUGGACUAGAGUACUGGAGAGGAAACUGGAAUUUACGGUGUAGCAGUGAAAUGCGUAGAGAUCGUAAGGAAGACCAGUGGCGAAGGCGAGUUUCUGGACAGUAACUGACGCUGAGGCACGAAGGCCAGGGGAGCAAACGGG
rnacentral:rRNA from 1 species